UACGUAGGUGGCAAGCGUUGUCCGGAUUUACUGGGCGUAAAGGAUGCGUAGGUGGUUAUUUAAGUGGGAUGUGAAAUCCCCGGGCUUAACUUGGGUGCUGCAUUCCAAACUGGAUAUCUAGAGUGCGGGAGAGGAGAGUGGAAUUCCUAGUGUAGCGGUGAAAUGCGUAGAGAUUAGGAAGAACACCAGUGGCGAAGGCGACUCUCUGGACCGUAACUGACACUGAGGAGCGAAAGCAUGGGGAGCGAACAGG
rnacentral:rRNA from 1 species